UUUCCGUAGGUGAACCUGCGGAAGGAUCAUUACUGAGUGAGGGCCCUCUGGGUCCAACCUCCCACCCGUGUUUAUUAUACCUUGUUGCUUCGGUGAGCCCGCCUCACGGCCGCCGGGGGGCAUCUGCCCCCGGGCCCGCGCCCACCGAAGACACCUAGAACUCUGUAUGAAGAUUGCAGUCUGAGCAAAACUAAAUAAGUUAAAACUUUCAACAACGGAUCUCUUGGUUCCG
rnacentral:misc_RNA from 1 species